rnacentral:rRNA from 1 species
AGCGAACGCUGGCGGCAGGCUUAACACAUGCAAGUCGAACGGGCAUCUUCGGAUGUCAGUGGCAGACGGGUGAGUAACACGUGGGAACGUACCCUUCAGUUCGGAAUAACUCAGGGAAACUUGAGCUAAUACCGGAUACGCCCUUUUGGGGAAAGGUUUACUGCCGAAGGAUCGGCCCGCGUCUGAUUAGCUUGUUGGUGGGGUAACGGCCUACCAAGGCGACGAUCAGUAGCUGGUCUGAGAGGAUGAUCAGCCACACUGGGACUGAGACACGGCCCAGACUCCUACGGGAGGCAGCAGUGGGGAAUAUUGGACAAUGGGCGCAAGCCUGAUCCAGCCAUGCCGCGUGAGUGAUGAAGGCCUUAGGGUUGUAAAGCUCUUUUGUCCGGGACGAUAAUGACGGUACCGGAAGAAUAAGCCCCGGCUAACUUCGUG